rfam:Candidatus Pacearchaeota archaeon CG1_02_32_132 cg_0.2_sub10_scaffold_413_c, whole genome shotgun sequence.
GCCGACGUGGGACAAUGGUACUCCGCUGGUCUUGAGAACCAGUUUCCUUACGGAUUUCCCGGUUCGAUUCCGGGCGUCGGCG